CAGUAUCUACAUCAUAUUAUAGAGUGGUGGUGGUUCGUAAAUGUAUAUAAAUUAAGUAAGCGCAUAUUUUAUUCCAGUCGUCAUUGCUAAGGACACAUUAUUGGGAAUAGCUGGUCUUGCAUUCUACUCUCUUGAACGAUUUCAUAACGAACAUUUUGUGAUUUUAUAUUCUUAUUUAUCUUAAUUUACUGACGCCUAUGCAAAUUCAUGAUUAUUAUUUUAUGUGACAAGGAUUUGGACAUUUCUCAAUUUAUCUCUUGUAAUUUUCCACGUUUUCAGUAUGUAAGAACUCUUAUCUCUAUUUGCCUAACCAAAUUAUCUGUCUACCAGCCCGACUUACCUUGAACUUAACCCAAUAUAUACCAUUUCCUCCUUCUUUUCUUUGCCAGUCUCCAAAUGCUCUUUUACAUGUAACGACGGUUGGUUAAGCUACUCUAAAUUUGUAUUGAACCAUUCUAAUUUGACCAAGUAAAAUCAGUAAAAAUAAUUCUUGCCACUUCGACUCACACCCACAUUUUUACCAACAUAAGUUCACACACAUUUAAUACCAUCCCCAUCAUCUGUCAAAUAUUCUGGGGGGUUGAUUAAUCUUUUAAUUUGAGUUGACAUCGUCAAGGACUUUCGAAAGGUAACAAAUUAACAAGGACGUAUCCAUUUACACUUUUAUACAAAUAAAAUUUAUAAUUUGGUAAUUGUUACAAUUUAACAAGGCGACGUUUUGGAUACGAAUCUUCGUACGGUAAACAAACUUCGUGAUUAGCAAACCCAUAGGCAAUUCUGAAGUUCGCGUUACUGUUUAUAUAAGUACCAGAUUAUAAUCGUGGAAUAACUAAUGCGAAAUUUAUUAUUAUUUAUCAUUUAUUAUUAUUUUGCUAAAUUCGCGAAUUUCAAAACCCGGCAAGCAAAUUCGAUCUCUGUAUUAACGAUUCACCCAAAUUAUUUUUUCAAAUUAUUUUCAACCAUAUUUGGCCAAGUUUGGACCAAUUUUCCCUCAAAACCUAAAUUUAGCAAAAUCAGCCAAAAUUGGCACAUUUUGGCCUGUAUCUCGAAAACCACUGGAGGGCCCCCCCCCCCCAAUAUUAUUGCAGAUUCUUAAUCUACCAAAAAUUACGGAAAUUUUAAGCCAUUAUACAGCGAAAUCGUUCGAGCGCGAAAAAAACACCUUAUAAUCAAGCGAGUGUGGUAACCUGAUAGCAUUCUAUUUUCUUCCCACGAUUUUGGUGUAUCAGAAUGAUUGCUGUUCAAACAAAGCGUGCUGCAAUUCUUCACCAACAUCUGAGUGGAAAAAAAAUUUCCGAGAUUUUCCAUUCACUCACCCAAACUGGUAUUGGUCGCAAAUUGGUCGAACGAACCGUAAAUCGUUACAUUGACAUUGGCAGUGUUGAGGACCGACCAAGAAGUGGGAGGCCAAGGUCAAAACGGUCACCAAAAUUCCUCAAGGCACUGAAGAACCGAAUUCGUCGGAAUCCUCGCCGGACGCAAAGGAAAAUGGCCAUACAAAUGAACGUGUCAAGUAAAACUAUGUCCAGGGCCCCUAAAGUGGACCUUGGACUUAAGGCUUUAAAACGUGGAAAGCAACACCUGCUCACUGCACGGCAAGUUAAAAAUAGAUUGGCCAGGAGCCGGGCGCUGAUCAAGCGGUACGCGGGUGAAAAAUGGAAACGGAUUCUUUUCACGGAUGAGAAGAUUUCCACGGUCGAGGCCAAAUACAAUAAACAAAAUGACCGGGUCUACGCCCAAUAAGUCCAGGCUAUUCCCAAAAAUUUGAAAAAAGUCAAUCGGUCUCACCAUCCUGCUUCUGUUAUGGUUUGGUUGGGUGCAAGUUGGGAUGGGAAGACAAAAGUACGUUUUGUCCCUCAGGGGGUGAAGGUUCGUGCCAAAAAUUAUUUGAGCGAUGUCCUCAAACCAAUUGUGGAACCACUGAACCACACCCUAUUCAAAAAUAAGGAGUGGACGUUCCUGCAGGAUACAGCUCCAGCUCAUAGGGCUAAAAUCGUAAAGAGGUGGCUGAAGUCCAAAAUUCCUGACUUCAUUUCUGAUCAAGAAUGGCCUGCAUCAUCACCGGACCUGAAUCCGCUGGACUAUGAGAUAUGGUCCAAAUUGGAGCUGGAUGUAUGUUCUAAACCCAAAAAAAUCUAUCGUCAAGAAAUGGGAUGACUACCCCUUGGAGCGUGUGCGUACUGCGAUCGAGAGCUGGAUGCCAAAACUUCGGGCUUGUGUCGCAGCAAAAGGUGGACAUUUUGAAAGCUAGUCAAUCUAUUUUGUAGAGAAUUUUAUCGACUUUCGAAUACAAU